CUUGGCAUGGAAAAAGUGAGGCUCAGGAAGAUUGCGUGACUUACCCAAGGUCACGUGGCCUGUAGGCAACUGAACCAGUCCUUGAAUUCAGAGCUGCCUGAAUCAAGCUCCCACAUUUUCAACAUGUGACCACACUCCUCCAAGCUGAGGGCGUUUCUGCUUGCAAACUGGUGUUUUUCUGGAAGAACAAAGAAGGCCAUCCCAGAAAAAUCUGCCUAAUAAUGAAAAAACCACCCUUUCCAUAUAGGUGCACAGAGAAAAGGCUGAGUGAGGACACAGCAAGAAGGCGGCCCUGCGCACACCAGGAAGAGAGGCCUCACCUGAAACCAACCCUGAGGGCACCUGUAGGGCCUGCAGACCUGUAAAAAGACCAAUGUCUGUUUAAGCCACCCAGCUUGUGGCAUUUUGUUAUGCAGUCUGAGCAUAUUAAUAUGGUUUUUUUUUUUCAGAGAUCCUCAAAGCUCGCAUUCCAACAUAACACAGGAGUGAAAGCACAAGCUUUGAAGUCAGAAAGGACUAAGUUCUCAACCUGGCUUCCCAUUCAGCAGGACCUUGGCUUUCAUCUCUAGGAUCCUGUUUCAUAAGAUUGAUAUGAAAAUUAACUGAAGCAAUGCAUAGGAAAUGCUUGUCGUGGCGUCAGGACCCCUCUGUAGAUGUGGGCAGCCCACCCUAAGGGAAGAAUUAUGGGAAAGGGCUGCAAGAUACCAGAGGUGGGCCAGGCUAUAAAGUCCUAGGAUCAAGUUUAAAUGCCACAUUCGUUCUUCAAGUUGCCCACUUGAGACUCUUCCAAGAGGCAAGAAUUGAGGUUGGUGCAGACCCGUAUGGAUUCACUGCUAGUAACUUGGACACCUUCCACCAGUAACAGGAAUUAAACAGAGACACCAUGGAAACACUGCUUAUCUCUAAUGACCAGAAGCUGAGAUCAUUGGGUAUUCAUGUCCUUGAUUUAUGAGAAAAUUGGAGCAUAAAAUACCUAUUAUCUCAUCAUAGAUCCUACAGGACCCAUGGGGAGAAAAGGAAGAAAGGCAGUCCUAUAUAAACCAAAAAUACAAUUCAAAGUUCCCCCCUCCCCACUUCAAGUUGUCCCACCCAGAUCGAACCAAUGUCAAUCUUACAUGUAUUGAUUGAUGUAUUAUGUCUCCCUAAAACGUAUAAAAGCAAGCUGUACCCCGACCCCCUUGGGCUCAUGUUGUCAGGCCCUCCUGAGGCUGUGUCACGGGCAUGUCCUUAACCUUUGGCAAAAUAAACUUUCUCAAUUGAGUGAGACCCAUCUCUGGUAUUUUGGGUUCACACCAAGUAGGUGAAAAGGUCAGUAGUGGCUGAAAUUGCUGCAGUAGUUUUGGGUAUUUUUUAUCAGGCCUCUGAGCCUGAGCCAAGCCAUCGCAUCCUCUCUGACUUGCACAUAUAUGCCCAGAUGGCCUGAAGUAACUGAAGAAUCACAGAAGAAGUGAAAAUGCCCUGCUCCGCCUUAACUGACGACAUUCCACCACAAAAGAAGUGUAAAUGGCCGGUCCUUGCCUUAACUGAUGACAUUCCACCACAAAAGAAGUGAAAAUGGCCGGUCCUUGCCUUAACUGAUGACAUUACCUUGUGAAAGUCCUUUUCCUAUCCUGGCUCAAAAAGCUCCCCCACUGAGCACCUUGUGACCCCCACUCCUGCGUGCCAGAGAACAAACCCCCUUUGACCGUAAUUUUCCUUUACCUACCCAAAUCUUAUAAAACGGCCCCACCCCUAUCUCCCUUCACUGACUCUCUUUUCGGACUCAGCCCACCUGCACCCAGGUGAAAU
rnacentral:lncRNA from 10 species